rnacentral:rRNA from 1 species
GACGAACGCUGGCGGCGUUCUUAACACAUGCAAGUCGAACGAAGUGGCGAACGGGUGAGUAACGCGUAAUCAACCUGCCCUUCCGAGGGGUACCCCACUUGGCAACGACUGCUAAUACCGCAUUCUGAAGGAUGGGAUUGCGUCUGAUUAGCUAGGUGGAGGGGUAACGGCCCACCAAGGCGAUGCUCAGUAGCCGGUCUGAGAGGAUGAACGGCCACAGUGGGACUGAGACACGGCCCAGACUCCUACGGGAGGCAGCAGUGGGGAAUCUUCCGCAAUGGACGAAAGUCUGACGGAGCAACGCCGCGUGAGUGAUGACGGCCUUCGGGUUGUAAAGCUCUGUUAAUCGGGACGCGGUACCGGAAUAGAAAGCCACGGCUAACUACGUGCCAGCAGCCGCGGUAAUUC